rnacentral:lncRNA from 1 species
AAAAAUCUAAAAGAACAAUUUUUGUUACCCAUCUCACGUAAAAAAAAAGAAGAAGAAACAAUAUUGUGGGAAAAAAUGUGGGGAAAAAAACAAAAGUAAAUGUGCAAAAGGGGAGGGAUUUUGGUAUAUUAACUCUCUUUUUUUUUAAACAAAAGAAAUAAUAGAAUAACAAAAAAAUAAAAUAGUAAAAACAAAUCCUAACCAAUCACUACCCACUAACUCCCAUCUUUAUCCCAUCACUUCCUAUAGUUUUAAACAAAC